AUAUUUUCUUGGCAUAGGAUUCAUAUCAACCAGCAUUCCCUAUCGGUCUCAACUCUUUUCACCCUUUGGUGUCCUACCUUUUAGAUAGUGUCUACUGUGUCUAUCGUCACUUGGGUCACCUUGAAUUCUGUUUCUUGACUUUCAUGACAUUAAACAUGCCAUAGACAAUGGUAUCUUCAGAAUAGGUACACGUGAUUUUAAAACUAUAUACUAAAAAACUGGUUGGCAUGGCUUGUCUUUUUCCUUUAAAGGAAAAAAAAUGGAAUAAACUAAUUGGAUCUAACUCACUGAUCUAAUCUAAUUGACUGAGCACAAAUUGGUCAUUAAUACAGCCAAAUGAAUAAACAGCAAUUCUGGAUUCUGCAUCAGGAUGUAGAUACUAUCUGGAUGGACCAUCUGUUGGCUGAGUGCCAAGCUAAGGGUGAAUCACCAUCAUUAAAAUAACUGAGGUAACUGGGCUGAAAAGGGCCAAUUUUGUUAGUGUUAACUCCCAUUAAUUUUCAAAAUUACUAAUUGGAUCCUGGAAUUACUUUUCGGUGGACAGACGUCCAUUGUGACAUCCUGAGCCUUGAACGAGACCCUGAAUAACCCCCUCUGCAGACAUAACCAGUGCUAAGGCAGGGCCUGCUGGAGCCAGGUACCAACGAAAGGAGGAAAGGCUGGCCCAAAGAUGCUUGGCAAAGGAAGUUCUGGAGAGAGUCGGCUCGAGAGCCUGAGAACCAUUUAUUCAACCUUUGCUUGCGGGUCAGGUUUUCGCAUUUCUUUUGCAAAUCUGAGCUCAGCACUUGGUGGUACCUGUUCAUUGUAUCUUCCUAUUCCUACCCCAUCCCCCAAGCCCAACUCUGUCUCCUAGAAUCCCAAACCUGGAGGGAGGAGACCAACUGGCUGCAAAUCCUUCUCCAGGAGGAGUCCCCAGAGGCUGAAGAACAAUGUCAUGGUGGUGUUGGUGUGGCGACUGGACAGUUGUGAAUCAAACUGAGAAACUGAGACCAGGAAGAUCCUGAGCCACACAACAUUGGAGGUAUCUCCGGCCAUUUGCAAUGGGUACAAAGUCAACGAAGUCACAUGUGGAGAAUAAAGCAGAAAAUCCACUUAGAACCAGGCGGCCUGGGAGACACGGGUUUACGAGGACUGUUGGAUUUCGAAUAAUUCACAUGUCAGCUUUGUGGAUUUGCUCCUUUGCUUCUCUGGCUCAGUGGUUCCUACUCUGUCAACAAGUGCCUUCAAAGAUCUGCCUCCCAGAUGCCUCUAAGAUUGAAGAUUUUCAUCACAUUUAGAGCCGCUUCUCUGCCACCUCUCACUUCUCAUUCACAUGCCUACCGAACUUACAUCGUCCCCUCCCUCGAACCUGUGGACCGUCGACUGAAGUGGAGGAAAAUGGGUUAGCUUUCUCUUGGGUGGCAAAUUAUUUUUUAAUUAAUGCUGCUGCCGUUUUUCCCUCUCCCGGCCAAAUUAAUGCAACAAGAAUUGUGUUGGCAUCUGUGGCAGCAAAUGGAGAGGAAGAGCAGUUUCAAAGGAGAGGGUGACAGCUCCCCACCCCCCAAUCUGGGUAGGCUUUGGAGCAAGACACAAUUCACAUGCAGAGUGCCAGAACGCGGCGAGUCUCCGCGUUGGAACUCCAGGAACACGUUUCCUCCACGACUGGUAGCAAUUCCUACUCUCUGUCACGCUGAGAGACUUUGAAGAAGAUUCUUUCUUGAGUUCCCUGCGGUCGGGCAUAGGGCCAGCUUAUGGGGAGCACAGGGUGGGGGGAUAAUUAAGCACCCUCAACACCUUGCCGUUCGUUUCCAGAAAGAACAGAGAUCGUCCACUAACCCUAACCCUAACCCCAGUUCUUCCUUCCUUCCUUCCUUCCUUCCUUCCUUCCUUCCUUCCUUCCUCGGCCCAGCGCUUCAGAUCACCAUCCCCUAAGAAAGCCAGAUGGUUUCCUUUAAGAUUGGCUAAAAACCGUUCUUGGGGGCCAAAUGCACACCAGUGUCCACGGUCCGUGCCAAGGGGAGCAAAUGGGGGCAUGAUAAGGCUCAUGGUCCAGUGCAAAGAUAACACUAGACUACGAGCAGAUCCUAUCAGACUGUACAUUAUCUUUAGCAUACAGACCGACAUUUACCUGUUAUAUACCUACACGUUGGGGCUUUUACCGGUUUUGUAUUUUUCAAAAAAAAAAAAAAAAAAAACCUACUUUUUGUUUUUAGACAGACUUAUUAUUUGUUAUCUUUUGAUUUUCUCAAACAACAUAGGAAUGCAUUCUCCUUUUUAAAAAUUAAAACAUUACAGGGUGCCUGGGUGGCUCAGUUCGUUAAGCGU